GCGGGCUAUAGUUCGGCCCAAUUUGAACGUUAUUUUUGCUAUUCAUGGUUGUUUUCCCAUCCAAAUCCAGCGCUAAGCGGGCUAUAUAGUAUUGACAUAUCAUAAGAGCUAAGCGGGCUAUGUUACCGUUAAGAGUCCAUAUGAAAUUAUUUUAAAUUUAAAUUGCAAUCCUAUUCCCAUAAGGAAACUCGCCAGAUGGCUUCUCGGCACGGCACGCCUCGCAAUUUCGGCUCCGGGCGGAUGGGUUCGCGAUCAGGUUAGGUUGAAAACCUGAUCAAACCAAACAUUUGAGGCUGGGAAUUGCGCAGUUGGAAAACUUAGUUUUGAGAAUUGAAUGAACUUCACUCACACCACAAUAAAGGAGUGUACGUCAUGGCGCUUCAAUGAUUACUUAAGUGAAGAGUUUCUCCUCUUGAUCUGGAUGAGCUUGUCAAACACACACCAUGGAAAGCUCAGGAAAUGAUCUCUUUCCAUUCCCUUGUUGCAGCGACCCCAGUAAUCAGGAUGAUAUGUAACAUGGUACCAAGCUGAUGCUUUUGCUGCUUGUACAUCAUUGAUAUCAGGCUUCAUAUCCGACUGCAUUCCCAGCUUCUCAUCAAACCAGGUCCUAGCUUCCUUUCUCAAUGCCUUUAUAGCGUAAUGAAUAGACUCCAAGUCUUUUCCCCAGUUGAAAUUUUUUGAUACUGCAGUGAUGCUCCCACUUAGUAUUUCGGCUUCAGUUUUGUAGCCGUAGUAAUCCAUCAGGUUUCCCAGCUUGUAGUCAUACUCAAUUUUGUAAUUGAUAGCAUCUUUGAUGUAGUCUUCAAAUCCAUCUACCUCCAUAUCAGGGUCAUAAAACUUCAUAGCAACUUCCAUGGUGAAGGAUUUAAUUGAGCCCGAGUUUGAAGGUGAAUCUGAUGCAAGCUCAACAUGUUUCACCUGUCGGAAAAGCCUCCCAAUCACACGUUUUGAUUCGUAGGUGAGUUUGUCACCCUUCUCCAUGAAAUCUGGGUAUUUGUCGACACGUAGACAGUGUGGCACUUCCACUACCACACCAGUUUUCGGAGAGUCAACAGCAUGCGAGCUGAGCUUGGCGAGCUUGAUACAUGGAGCACUGGUAGCCUUCUGUCGCUCUCUGUCUGCAAAGACAGUAUGUGCAUUACAAAUGAUCCCCAAGUUGUCGUUCACUAUGUAGUUGGUAAAUGACUCUGCAACCUCCUGUAACAAACACAACAGAACGCAAUGAAUAACUCUGAGACAAGAUUCGACAAGUGAAGUAUAUAUCUUUCAAA